rnacentral:rRNA from 1 species
UUAUUGGAGAGUUUGAUCCUGGCUCAGGACGAACGCUGGCGGCGUGCCUAAUACAUGCAAGUCGAGCGGGGUUCGUUAGAAGCUU